CAGUCGCCGCGGUAAUACGGAGGGAGCUAGCGUUGUUCGGAAAUACUGGGCGUAAAGCGCACGUAGGCGGUUAUUCAAGUCAGAGGUGAAAGCCCGGGGCUCAACCCCGGAACUGCCUUUGAAACUAGAUGACUAGAAUCUUGGAGAGGUCAGUGGAAUUCCGAGUGUAGAGGUGAAAUGCGUAGAUAUUCGGAGGAACACCAGUGGCGAAGGCGACUGACUGGACAAGUAUUGACGCUGAGGUGCGAAAGCGUGGGGAGCGAACAGGAUUAGAUACCCCUGUAGUCCCUGUCUCUUAUAC
rnacentral:rRNA from 1 species